AGUCGAGCGAUCUUCUUCGGAAGAGAGCGGCGGACGGGUGAGUAACGCGUGGGUAACCUGCCUCAUACACAUGGAUAACAUACCGAAAGGUAUGCUAAUACAAGAUGAUAUAAGAGAUUCGCAUGGAUUUCUUAUCAAAGCUCCGGCGGUAUGAGAUGGACCCGCGUCUGAUUAGCUAGUUGGUAAGGUAACGGCUUACCAAGGCGACGAUCAGUAGCCGACCUGAGAGGGUGAUCGGCCACAUUGGAACUGAGACACGGUCCAAACUCCUACGGGAGGCAGCAGUGGGGAAUAUUGCACAAUGGGCGAAAGCCUGAUGCAGCAACGCCGCGUGAGCGAUGAAGGCCUUCGGGUCGUAAAGCUCUGUCCUCAAGGAAGAUAAUGACGGUACUUGAGGAGGAAGCCCCGGCUAACUACGUGCCAGCAGCCGCGGUAAUACGUAGGGGGCUAGCGUUAUCCGGAUUUACUGGGCGUAAAGGGUGCGUAGGUGGUUUCUUAAGUCAGGAGUGAAAGGCUACGGCUCAACCGUAGUAAGCUCUUGAAACUGGGAAACUUGAGUGCAGGAGAGGAAAGUGGAAUUCCUAGUGUAGCGGUGAAAUGCGUAGAUAUUAGGAGGAACACCAGUAGCGAAGGCGGCUUUUCCUGGACUGUAACUGACACUGAGGCACGAAGCGUGGGGAGCAAACAGGAUAGAUACCCUGGUAG
rnacentral:rRNA from 1 species